ensembl:lncRNA
GUUCUUGGUGUUGGGAGUACUUUAUUUGUGUUAAAGCGCUGUUUGUUAAUUGGUAGCGGAUGUACCGCGUCAUUUCCGGUUUUAUCGUCAGUCGGCGCUGAGUUUGACUGAGAGAGCUGUGUAGUUAAUCCAGCGCGAUUAUAAAGUUUGAAUUUUAAGCUUUAAAAGUCGUUUCAAGUGCACAACCCUGUUUAAUCAUGUAUAGUAUUGUUAGGAUAGACGGACUGUGUCGUUUCUGCUGUGUAUUUUACUUGUACAAUGAGUUUGUGAAAAUUUUCCUCGUGUGUGCGCGCGCUAGCGUCGCCAUUUUAUCUUCUUAUCGAGGUACACGCUGACGUUAUUUUCUCAUGUUAGGUUUACUGUGAAGAUAAAUCCUGUAUGACGACGUUUUGCUCUCUCUGAACUCUAAAUAGGGGUGUGUUUUGUACUCCCCUUACCAUGUUCAAAACUUUUAUUAUUUAACAAACAACACAAAAAUCAGCUCAUCACAGGUUGGUCUUCCACCUCCGUCUUCUGCUCAAGGGUCUUCUCCACCUUCACUCUCUCCGCUCCCAUCUUGGCCAGCGGCUGUUUCUCCUGAAGCAUUCGGCUCAGUUUGGCCUGCGGCAGGUUAGUCUUACUGCUUGUGCUGUGUUUAACACAACUGUGGCCCGAGUGAAGACUUCAUCAGACUUGUCCAGGAGUUCACCUGCUGAUUGUCCAGCGUAAGCUUCUCGAUCUGAGCCUCCAGAUCCGCCUCUCUGUCCUCCGCCUUCCGCUGCCCGAGCCCCUGAUGCUGAUUACUGUCUGACCGCUUCCUCAGAGUGCAGCUGCCGAGGUCGAGCUGCCGGCGGAGUCGAAUGUGCGUCUGGAGCUCCAGCGUCUUGAUCACAGGAUCUGGAUCGAGCACAUCUGGACAUGUCUACUUAACUUUUUUCCCCCCCCACCAAAAUGUGACUGAACAUUCCUGAGGAAAGGCUCGAUUGUUAAUAAUAUAGUUAGUUGUAUGUCAUAGAACACAAUGUAAUUACAUUUAUUUGUAUCUUUUUGUAUUUUAUUAACAUGUUUUGAGUUAGUCUCCUAUAGGAGUCGUUGAGUUUGACUGAGAGGUGUGUUGUGAAGAUAAAUCCUGUAUGACGACGUUUUGCUCUCUUUGAUCUCUAAAUAGAUGUUGAGCUUGUCUGCGGGAUGAAUAAACCUGAGUUUAACAAGAUACGCCAGUGUCUAUUGUGCACCAGAACACCACGCAGUGUAGCCGGGCUAGGCGGGGCGGACCGGUCACACUAGUACUGCUAGUAAAGGCAGUGAAGUAUUGGCCAGCUAGCUAGCUUAAAGAAGGGGGGGGGGGCGUGUGCAAGAUACUCAUAAUCUUGAAAAUUUCAGUUACUUAUUUAUCUACUUUAUCUUUAAGUACUGACAUAUCACUAGCCAGAAGUCGUUGUUUGGUGUCAGACACUAAUUAGCAAACAGAAGCUGAAGAUCAUUAGCUAGCUUGUUAGCUGAUUAGCUAAUUAACCCAGCGCUGGUCUGGGCACGCGCAGGUCGCCAUAUACUUUGAGUGCGUUAAUAAGCACCCGAUAUCUCUCAGUACUACUUUAUUCUUGUUUUUAAAGGAGACUGUUCAGGAAAAGAAAUAAUUAGCUGGAUAAGUGAGUAAACUGAGACUGUGGACCUUUUUGUAGGAAUUUGUGUGCAAUGUUUCAUUUAAUAAAACGUUUAUGCAGCACUUCUGAUGCAUUUAGUCUAAAAGUCUUGCAAAUGCAUGUACAUAGG